CUCUGCUUGUGGCCGUUUUCACAAACAGCUUUAUUUUAUUCACUUUCUUUCCAUAAAGAGAACAUGUCCAUUAUGGGAAAAGGUCAAUGAGGACUUUUAUCCUCCGGAACAAAUCUUACUUAAGUUAUGCCAAAUUUGAUUCACUCUUCUUUAUUACAUGUAAGUAAAAAACCCUCUCCUUCCUUCACUGUUGCCUCCAGAAUUGCGUUGUCAAGUGAAUUGCUGGCAGGAGGCAGACGUGCCUGGAUGGAAGAUUUUCAUGUGGCUGGUGAAUCAGCUCGAAAAUGCAAAAAGCUCCUGCCAAGGAGAAAGGAGCAGGGCUCAGCCCUCGGUGCUGCCCCAGGAGGGUUUGCCCUUUCUCAGCAGAACAACCUUCCCAAAUGAGCAUCCGGGCAGGAUUCGAUUGCUGCCAGAGCAGCUCUGUGCUGUUGAUGGACUCAGCUGCUCUAUGCUGUGCCUGCAGCCAGCAACAAUAAAGCAGGCUCUUAUUAAAUUAA